GGAUUUGCUUGUGGAGAAUGGUGUCUACAAAGCAAAGCAAGUGCCAUCCAUAGUCAGGUGCAUCCACCAGUGGCUCACGUCCAAUGUGUCUGCUGAGCACAGGCUGGACAAGACUCUUGUCCUGCUGACCGAGGCACACCCUAUGGAUGUUGCAGUGACCCUGCUGCGCUCUGCCCCAGCCUGUGACAGAGCUGCUCACACC